AGAUAUUCAGAUCACUUCACGGAAUUGAGUCAGCUCGCGUUGUUUCAUACCUGAGAAUGGUAGAUUCCUUUGUUUCUAUCAACAUAGUAUCUAGGUUGAUAGAGACAGAGAAGAAGAAAGCACAGCUAAAGAAGAUUUUUGUAAAUAUUACUGAGUCUGAGGAUUGGGAGGAGGCAGAGUUGUUGUAUGAACAGCACACAAGUAAAAUAGAUGAUUUUUUGGUAAAUAUAAUAGAAAAAAUUUAUGCAAUCCUUUUAGAUUUUUAUUAGCUCACCUGGCCUAAAAGGCCAA
rnacentral:lncRNA from 1 species